AUUUGAAACUUGUUUUCUUGUUUUUGAAAUGUAGCAUAAUUAAUCUCUCACUUAUAAAAUUUUCCCCAAAAAAAAAAUCUAGCUGGGCGAGCUCGCUAAGGCUCGAGUCGAGCCUUGUUUUCUUGGUCGAGCUUUUGCUCGACUCGAGCUCGAAAAAGGGCUCGGCUCAUUUCGUUGACAUCCCUAUGUAGUGUGAAGAUUGGCAUGAGACCGUAAAAGUGACUUCUUAAUAGGAGCUAUAAUUGGAAAUACGUUUAAUAGAAAUGGACCAGUACUAAAUUGAAAUUAUUAGUAGAACUUGACAUAAUAUCUGUUGUCUCUUGAUUGAUCCAUUCUCUUCCUUUGUGCACAGUGCACUAUUCAAUGGUUUAUGAACCAUUUCUUUAACCAGGAAAAUAAAAAACAAAAUUAAAUUAGAAUGUAAGUUUACUUAUGAAAGCAUGAACUUACAUUGAAGAGUUAUUCGUUUAUUAAAGUUUUGUAUUUGCACAUAUAAUUUUCUUAUUUAAAAUAAAUUAAUGCAUAAGUUGGGAGAUGGGAAAAAAAAAACCAACAAGACAGAAUCCAACUGCUUUCUCAAUAUUAAAUUCUUAUGCCUCAGAUGUAUUGAAUGAUUUAUUUAUGGAAUUUCGUGUAUGGUGAAAUUGCAAGGCUAAAUGAUUUUUCUUUCUUAUUUUUCUAAUUUGGAGUCAAGAUAGAAGAAGAGGAAAUUCUACAUUUAUAUUUGCAGAACUUACACAAUAGUGAUUAGGAGAAUUGAUCUUUAUGAAAUAAAUAUCUGUAAAAUCUUUGUUUAUAUAUAUAUA
rnacentral:lncRNA from 1 species